UUAUCAUACCAGCCUCACUUUUCAGCUGUUACUUUUUCAGGAGUUCACCCCCCAUCUCCUCCUUUUCUCUUGGAUUGACAAGGCUGACAGAGGCACCUGUAAGCACUUGCUUUCUUGAUCCUGGCUUUAAUGAUUAGCUUAAGGAGUCUCAUAUGCUCCUGUCAUACCUAGUGCUACCUCUGUCAACAUUCUUUUCAACACAGCAGACUUUGAUUGCGCUUAGAGACAAGGUCUGCAGCACCUGUUUUCAAAGGAAAUGGAAAGGCAGAUAUUCUGCUUAUGAAGAUUGACUUAGUAAUGGAGCCAAGGUUAACAAAUUCACCUGGAGAUUUCCUAUGGCUCUUGACUUUGUGCUUCUCUAAUCUGGAAGGAUGUACUGAUGGUAAGGUGGUUUUGGAGAGCUGCUGAUGAGCCUCUUUCAUUGGUUUGCCUAUACUGCUUUCAUCAAGACAACACAUCCAGCCACCGAUACUCCAGGAGACACCUAACAGGGCACAAACUGAGAAGAAAUUUCCAUGUGGAUUUAGCCCACCUGACAGCUGUUUCAUCUCUCAGGUCCUCAUGACCAAGGUCAGAGGCUUGAGCAGAGCUGCUGUUUGCUCAUCAGAACAAAGGAAGUCUUUAAGCUGGUUUUACCACCCUAUCAAACUUUUGUGGGUGAGGCAGGAGAGAACAAACUCGUUUUCAGGACCGCAGAGGUAUACAAAUCUCAGGGUAAGCAGAUAUACAUAUAGGUGUCUGAUGACUCAUCUGAUAUACCUGAUUAGUGAGAAAGAGUGCUUUUGAGGUUAAGACACUGGAGAGGAUUCAGGAAAUCUGGAUUUUGUUCCCAGCCCCACCGCAGAUUUGCCUGUGGCAUCUUGAGUAAGUGUGUUUGCUUGUGCCUCAGCUCUCUGCGUGUAAAGGGGGCACAGGACUAUUUGCCUCCUUGCUUUUCCUUCAGAAAGACAGGACAAGCACAUAGGUAAGUGUCCCUAACCCAUAUGGGCUCUCAUCUCACUGGGAUCUCUUAAUACCAUCAGUGUGUGAAUCACAGUGCACAAGGGAAGAGAGAAACCUAUACUUAACACAUGUAUGUAGAGAGGAUGAACGGUUCCAGAAGUAUCAGUGAAGUAUCAGAAGUUGGCCACUUCUGGGAACAGUUAUCAUCUUCCUGGCAUCUGUCUCUGGCAAUCUCAAGCUGUUAAUGAAAAUUUGAAUCAAACAAGGACUGAGCAUUUUGUUUCAUGAUUUGCAGGACAGUUAAGUAUUUAAAUGCUUCCAUUUACCUUCCUUCAUGAAAAUGCAUAUUCAGGUCCUGUCUGCAAGAACAACAGAAUUGAAACAAAUGCAGAGCAAGACAAAGCUACCUGGACAAUAUGGAAGUAGUGGGCAGCAACAUUAUUUCUCUUUGUUCAUUAGGCAUAUCAAUUGCAUUUAUUACAUGGUCAUAUCAGUUAUAUGGGUCACAAAAUACUAAUUGUUAGAUGGGCCUAAAGAGGUAGCACUGAGCACCAGAAAUGUUUGGUAUGAUAAUUUGUCCAUCCUUCUGUUAGAUUCAAAUUCUGUUCUUGCUGGCUGAAUUACAAAUUCAACCAAGCCCAGUCAUUCAGCCCUCCACACUCUCCUGCAACCAAAAAUAAACAUUAUUAUUUUUAUUUCUAAUAGCAGUAACAUGAGUGAGUGUGAAUCUCUAGACAUGGCCCGUUAUGCAUUUUUUUUGGUUUUAGUGGUCUUUCUAUCCAUUUAACCCAUUCUAGGUUAGUAUUCAGAGAUCAUGCUUUGAGGUUCUGUCUUGCAGUAGCUUGCUUUAAGGCUGUUGUAAGGCACUCUCUUGAGAGUCUCUUUUCUUGGCAAAAUCUUGUAGCAGCAGGCUUUGUAGGCAGACUUCUUUCAUUACAUAACCUUUUCCUCUUGAUAGGGCAUCUGUAGUACCGGAGGGAGGAGGAUGCCUGAUGCAGACAGGUUUUAUCCUCCCACCUUAUUUUCGUGUCCAUGCAUUUUCUCCUCUUUAAGAGAACUCUAAUACUUCCCCUUGCUACUGAAAGUAGGUGGAGGAACAGUCAGUUUUUCCUAUCCUUGGCAAAAUGUUUUCCUGGCACUGUUGGAUAUUGUGGAGCAAGGAGCACAAACACUCUCACUGUUGCACUGAAGCAGAAGGAGGAGCUGUGCUCCAGCUAGAUUUUCUGGGCAGGUAUAUGACCCAUCAGAGAUCCACUGACAGCACCAAUAGAACAGUGACAUGAGCACCUAUGUUAGAUUCUCCAUGUAGAGAUGACAUUACAGUGGUGCAGUAAAACACACGGGGUCACCUCCUGGCACACUCUGAACAUGCACAAUGGAGUGGGAAAUGCCAUAAUGUUUUCUGGGAAACAGGCCUUUCAAACCUCAUAGCCAUCUGAGCCCACCUCCUUGGGAGCAGAGAUUUAAACUUGAGUCUCACAUUCUGGGCAUAUAUCCUCAUUCUUUAGCCUUACAGAGAAAGGUGAGAGUGUCAGGUUUGUUUUAUAAUUGAAUGCAGGUGUUUAAUUAGCUAUGACAAAGUAGAUCAGAUUCAGCAGAGUAUUAUUAAGGAAGUCCUGUUCCCAAAUACCUGAGAAGGUGGUGAUGAGGACACUCUCCUCAAUGGGAGACCGAGGUUUGGAUCUGCUUUCUAAUCAGAUGUGUGGGUGAGGAGAGAGGAGGAAGACUUGAAAGCAAUUUCCUACCUCUUAUGUGGCUAAGGGAAAAUAUGGGUGAGAUAACUGUUAGUUGUUUUUCAGUAUUUUUUCUUAUCUCUGAGAAAGGAUUUACAGCUGGGACUCCCAGAGGAGAUAGGUGCCACCUUCUCUCCCAGUGGUAGCUAGAGCUGGCUCUGCUUAAUUGCUUCACCACUAAAUACUGCACACCACGUGGCCUCUUGUAGACAUUUCUUAUCCGUCAGCUUGGGCAGCUUCUUUUUCUGCUCUCCAGCUUCUCUAAUCCCAUCCUGAGUUGUCAGAUUUACUUUCUCCCCUACACCAGACCUGGCAUCCUGGGAUGCCUGUGUCUCUAACCCAGGGCUGAGGAUUCCAGUGUACACUGGGAUACCCUAGGCCCAUCCUUGUUGGGAUGAAGUGUCAACUCCCUUCAGAAGGAUGCUAAUUUUCAUUGAUGGUUGAACAAGUCUUCAGACUCAAAGUUCUCCUCACCUGCUGACGUCCCUGGACCUGACACAUAUGGUGUUACAUAUGUGCAUUUCUCUUGUUUGCUUCAUGAGGUCAGGUUUUCCACCUCCUCCAAAAAGUGGAAAAAAGUGAUUUACAAGUCUUGUCACGUUCUAGUUGGCAUGGCACCAUUUUCUGCCACACUGAACUGUGGCUCUAUAACAUCCACCGAGUAAUCUUUGUAAGGACACUUGUCUACACUCUGUCCUGGAUCCAGUAGCUGAUGUUAGGAAGCUCACCAGAGCUUUACUUCUCCAGUUCCUGCUCUGCAGGUCUUCUGGUUAAUGUUUCUAGCUUUAAUCAAAAAAGAUGAUGUCAACAGGAAUCAAACUGUAGGCUUUCCCGGUGCUGAUUGUAACCUUCAUUGUUGGUUAAUUGAUAAAAGUGCUAAAAGUCUGUUUCAGAAUUUCUGUUUCAUAAAAAUGUCUUCUUUGUUGAAGUAUCAAUUAACCGUCUUGGUUCAAAGUUUAUUUCUCUUGUGAGGAGCCAUUUAUUCUGUAAUAAUUGUCUAGAUUCUGACAUUAAAUACUGUAAUUUCUCCUGCUAUGUUUAAAACCACUUCCAAAGGCUUCUAUGUUUUAUUUCCUUGCCAUUUUCUACAUAAAUAGCUGGAGUUUUUUCAUGCUUGGGGAGAUUAAUAAAACUAUAGAGUAGAUUGUGAAAUUCAUCCCAAACCAAAAUACAAUGAGCUCCAUUCCAAGACCUCCUGCAGGCUCCAUUUCUUUAAUUAAAUAUAUGCCAAGGUUCCUCUCCAUGAAGUAAAUAUAUAAAACUGCAUAUUUGAGGGCAAUUAUAAGCUACUGUAUUUUGACAUUUCUUCACUGCAAAUCUUUUAACCUUUAUUAAGGGAAUUCUGGUUGAAUGGAUUUCUACUUGAGAUAUAUAUAGUAAGAAAGCUUAAUGUCUGUAUGAAAUUAUGGACAAACUAAAGAGAAAUCACAGGAAAUGUGAGCAGAAGAAACCCUGAUUUUGGUCCUGCCAAGGGCUGUGGUCAGGCAGUGUUCAUCAUUAGCUGGAGCUACAUAAUUGUACUGAAAGCAGAGAAGAGUGUUUGUUGUGGGGAAUGUUCACCUUUCUUCAUUCAGUCUGGCUUUGCUGGUGCACAGAACAGCAUGUUUCCAAGCCUUGUUGCAGUCGUGCCACAGGAAAGGAGACAAGGCUGGUUUCAAAUGGAGCAGUGUAGUGGGUUGAUGCUGUCUGGAUGCCUGACACCCACCAAAGCCUGUCUGCAGCUGGAUAGGGGAGACAAAAUAUAACAGAGGGUUCAUGAGCUGAGAUAGGGACAGAGAUCACUCAUCAAACACCACCAUGGGCAAAACAGGCUCAGAUUAGAGAUAUUAACUGAAUUUAUUAUGAACAAUAUCAGAGCAAGAUAAUGAGAAGUAAAACAAAACCUUAAAAGCAACUUCUCCCCACUCCUCCCUUUUUCCCUACUCUACCUCCUCCCCUCUGGCAGCCCAGGGGAUGGGGAAUGGGGGUUGUGGUCAGUUCAUCACACAUUGUUUCUGUUGUUCAGCGACAGGAGCCCUUCCCCUGCUUCACUCUCCUCUGGCCACAGUUACAACACCACAAUAUCUUUGGGGGUUUUGGGGUUUUUUUUGGGGUUUUUCUUUUUUUUUUCCUUCUUAAAUAUGUGAUCACAGAGGUGUUACCAGCAUUUCUAAUUGGCCCAGACUUGAACAGCAGCAUAUCCAUCUUUGGAGCUGCCAGGGAUUGGCUCUGCUGGACAUGGAGGAAGCUUCUGGCAGCUUCUCACAGAAGCCACCCCACUACCAACGCUUGGCCAUGCAAAGCCAGUACAGGCAGAUGCUGUGUGUACAAGCUCAGACAGCCAAGACAAAAGCCCUCUGUUCCUGCACUGUUUUGUUUUGAAUGGAAGCAAGUCAUCAAUUGCUUCCUUCCCUGUGGUCAAUCUUCCUCUGUCAGUAGUUUCUUCUGACUGAGUGGUGGUGUGAAAUGUGAGAUAAAGGUGUGAGGGUGACUCUGGAUAAAUAAGCAGGGCAGGAUGGCCUGGAAGGAGGCGCUCUGGAUAGGGGAGCAUUACUCCAAGGCAGGGACAUUUGCAGGUCUGUUGACACUAAAGUGGAGGAUACAGGACAUUCCUGGGGUGUAUGGACCUUCUGCCCUCAGGAAUAGGGGGCUGAUGUGCUGUCAGUGGCCACGUUGUGAGUGGGAUUGCCAAGGCAGAGGUGGGUGGUGGAUGUGCAGGAGAGCCAUGAAAGUCCUGGACUGCAUCCAGGUUUCCACUCCCAGAGGAGGCCAGAGUCCUGCUGACCCUUGUAUCUCUAUCUCAGACCAUCAGGCAUGCCUGGUAUUUUCCCAAAACUACUCUGGAUAUCAGGGGAAUGGGAGAAAAAACUUUUCUGAGGAGGAUAUAGGAAGGCUGAAAGUAGGAAUCAUAGGUAGGGUUCUGUUUCAGACAUGGCCUGGAGCAGCAGAAGCUCCUGCAGCUGCCAUUGCAGACACUGGCAUGUAGGUUCAUUCAUGUGGGAAACCUGUGUGAUAUGGGAAAUUUCCUGGCAAUGGAACCACAGCUCCUGCUCAAGCUGGGACACUACAGCAUGCCCAUAGUUUGGGUAUCAUUUUGAGCAAACCCAGCAGUGUUUGGGAGCUGCUGCAGGCUAGUGGUUUGCAAACUCUCCAUCAUAUGCCUUGCAUAUGAUCUUGAACUUUUCUUAAACUGGAGUUCUGUACUGGAAACACAGACGAACACAUGCUACACUUAUGUACUGUUAGAUCUGAGCCUGUUCAAACCUGCUGACUUGACAACAGGUUACCUGAUGAAAGCAGUCUUACUUCACUGAAAAUCCAGAUGAAUUUUCUUACUUAGCAUAGUUGCCAGCUUUUUUUGUUUGUUUGUUUUGUUUUUGUUUUAGUUGUUUGUUUGUUUGUUUGUUUUUUACUGGUAGUCAUCCUUUCGUAGGAAAGAACAGCAGAAUAAAACUUGAACUUGACAUUCUUAGCUGGUCAAAACAGAUAUUGUGUCUCGACAACUCUGAAUUUUCCUUCCAAUACAUGUGUUGAAGGUUUGCCAUGGAUAUUUUUCUGCCUUUUAAGAAAAAACAUUAGAUGAUCCAUCUAUAAGAGGAUCUCUGACAUCAAUUGGUAAUGGAUACUGCACAUUAAAAAGAUUCAUUCUGAACAGCUCCUGCCCCACACAAACCCUAAGCCUGUUUGGCCUGACCUUCUGUGGCUUUUCUUGCCUGCAGAAUAACUCAUGAAAUUUUUAGCAUUCCUGCAAUCAUAACAUCUGGGCCUCAUUGUUCUAUACCUUGGGAAAAAGGGGGGCAGUGACAAACACAUUUCCAAUUCACAUCCUCUUUCAUCUGCUUUUCUACAAGUCUUGAAUCAAGAUGCUCAAGCACAAAUUUUUGCUGGUCAUUUCUGGCUGCCCUCCUGAGGAGCAGCCAGCAGAGUGAUCCUGUGCAUGCAGCACAGGUCCUUUCAUGUGUUGGGCAAGUAAACAGAAGAGUCACUUAUUCAAAAUAUUCUCUGUAUUGGGUUUGCAUGGCCAGCUUUCAGUAGUGAGGAUGGCUAUAGGGGUGACUUCUGUGGGAAGGUACUGGAAGCUCCCCCUAUGUCAAGUGGAGGCAAUGUUAGUGAGCUGCAAGAUGGACCCAAUGCUGGCAAUGCUGAACCCAUCAGCAACAGUGAAUGCCUUGAGGGUAACGUUUUCAUGAGGAAGGGAAAAAAUUUCAGCACUGCAACAAUUGCAGCCAAAGAAAGGACUAAGAAUGGAUGAGAGGAAAACCUCUCCAGACACCCAGGUCAGUGCAGAAGGAGGAUGAAGUGAUAUUCCAGGCAUCAGAAGUGAGAUCCUCUGCAGUCUGUGGUGCAGUCCAUGGUGAAGCAGCUGUGUCCCUGCAGCACAUGGAGGUCUACAGUGGACCACAGAAUCACCUGCAGACCCUGAAGGACCCAGCGUCAGAGCAGGAGGAUGCCCAAAGGAGUCUGUAACCCCAUGGAAAGCUUGCACUGGAGCAGGGUCCUGACAGGAUUUAUGGACCUGUGGGGAGAGGACACAAUGCUGGAGCAGGUUUGCUGUCAGGAACUGUGAUACUGUUGGUGACUCAUGCUGGAGAAUUCUGUUCCUGAAGGACUGCAGGCCGAGGUGGUGAUCCACACUGGAGCAGUUUGUGAAGAGAGGCCUUGGGAAGUACUCAGAUUGGAGAAUUGUGUCUCCUCUGGCAGGGACUCCAUGUGGAACAAGGGAAGAGUGUGAGGAGUCCCUCUCCUGAGAAGGAGGAAACAGCAAAGCCAACAUGUGAUGAACUGACCAUAGCCCCCAUUCCCUAGCACCACUGCUGGGGAGGAAGGAGAGGAUCUGGGAGUGAAGCUAAACCUGGGAAGAAGGGAGAUGUGGGGAGGAGGUGUUUUUUUUAAGAUUUGGUUUUAUUUCUCAUUAUCUUAUUCUGAUUUGAUUGGUGACAAAUUAAAUUAGUUUUUUCAAGUUGAAUCUCUUCUGCCCAUUAACUCUUCCUCUGCUUAUCUUGACCCAUGAGUCUUUCCUUGUAUUUUCUCUCCCCUGUCAAGCUGAGAAGGGAAGUGACAGAGGGGCUUUGGUGGGCAUCUGACAUCCAGUCAUGGUCAACCCCCCACACGCUGGAAGAUUUUUAGCAACCUAUUAAAAAUACCAAAUUAGUGCCAGUAUGUGAAUUAUGUUUUUUCUUGUCCCUUCAACAGAUCUACAGGAUUUUCUCUCUUGCACAUCACUAAACUUUGAGCUAGGCACGUCAAGAGGAAUUCAGUGAUUUGAAGAAAAUCAUCUUCCUGUACUUGUUGCAAAGAGAAGUUGAAUAGUUAAAAAAAUAAUUAUGACCCUUAGUAUUUUACUCUUCACUAAUAAUUUACUUUUGCAUCAGCUGCACUUUGUCAUGUUACACAGCAUGUAGGAAAUGCCAUCAAUAAGCUGCAGCCUUUCAAAGGUCGGGGGUCACGAUGCCCAUUCUGAUGGACAAAAGCAUUAUAGGAGCAAUGCCUGUGUUUGGGGCUGGGAAGGGUAAGAUUUCAGUACAGCCACAGACUCAUUAACUAAAGGAGUACAGUGCUGCUUUGUUGUUAUGAUUUGAUAGAAUGCUUGGAAACAAGCAAAGAUCAGUUUGUGUUUGCGAAGGAAUAAUUCAGCUUCGUGUGGAUGCCUUUUAUUUUUAGAGAAAUGUGUCUCCCUUAGACCCUUGUAAAAAUAAAUUGUGUGGAGCAGAGGGACAUUGCUUGCAUGCAGAAUCAACUAUUUGCCAAAUGUUUUCUUUGUUUAAAAUAUGCACUUGCUAGACUGAAGCCCAAACUGCAAAGUUCAAACCAACACUCAAAUUCUAAACAGCGCAGACUUUAAAGUCACUGAAGUCCAACUGGGAAUCAUGGCACUAUAAGCAGUCCUGGAGUUAAAUUUUUACAGCAGCCUUUGCUUACAAAAUAUCAGAAGAGGUGCAAGUGCUACCACCUGUUUCCUUCAUCACCACUCCCAGUUUUUGCAACAGCUCAGCGGUUACUGUGCUCCACCAGGAUGGGAAUGACCCGACUUUGGUUUUUGGAGAGAUGAUAAAGCAUUUGAACCUAUGGGCUCUCAGGGUGUGCUCAAGAGGGUCUCCUUCAGACUGUCCUGCAAAAGGACACUGUUUUCAUCAAAUGCUAGAUUUAAAAAAAAAAGUAUUUGAACAUGAAUAUUUUUUAUCUCAGGCAAUAUUACCUAUAAGAGAGAGACAAGAGUAGCAAGACUUGCUCCAGCAAAAACAUUGUUAGGGCAGAAUCCUCAAGCAGGUGUUGGAGCUAAGAGCUGAAACCAAGUUUUAUAUUUUUUCCUAAGUGGACACCUUCAUCCUCACUAAGUCAGUGUCAAGGACAUGCUUUGUGUCCCUGUCUGGCUCCUUUAGCACACAGGAUUACUGCAGGCAGGGCAGGGCAGAGCAGUGACUGAAAACCUGGAUUUGGGAGGGGAUGAUGGGGUGGGGGAGCAGGGAAGGGAUGUCUCCACCAGCCCAGGAUGGGCCACUCUUUCACGUCCCUAGGGAAACACAUCAAGCCAUCCGAUAGAAGUACAGGGCAAUCAGUGGCCUGAUAUUCCUUACCCACCCCAGUUAGGUACACACAUUUUAGAUAACAUUGUUGGUCAGAGGCCAUAGUCAAUGACAGCCUGCAGGGGAAUGUUAGGUGACCAGCUACACAUUGUUAGUUCAUUUAGUUUAAUAACUAUGAAUAACUUUGCAGACAAGAAGUUACUUGGUAAAGUGGAAGGAUUUUAUUAAAAUCUAAUUUUAUUUUUAGUGAAAUGUAAUGAAGGACAACAGCUGGUGAUAAUAGCUAGCUGAUAAUAGCUGAUAAUAGUAUAUGAAAACAGAAGGUUUAUCAUUCAGCAUAUCACAGUGCAUGGCUUGAAUGUUCAGAGCUGCUUCUUAGCAAUUUUAAGAUGAUACCUAUGGGUAUUGGGCACUUGCAUGCUUCUAGAUCCUUGGUUCCAAGUGUUCCUUCACAAGGCUAUUCUGUGAACCAGGUUCAAAGCUUUCAGUGGGGAAAUCUCCCAUGAAAGGCUCUUGCUUCCUCUGUGAUCCCUGGUAAUCUUUCCCUAAGAGAAAAAUCUGCAUUACUGUGGUCUGAUUUAAAUAUGCAAGCAGAGUUUGACUUUUUCCCUUACUCUGUAAUUAAUGUAUAAAGUACCCAUCUCUUGGCAGCAUCUCUGGGUGGUGUGUAACACAGGAGCACUCAGCCCACCUGGGCUGCAGAGCUGGGGUUCGCUCCUGCCAUCAAAGCGGACACUACCAGGCAAGGAAAAAAAGCAAGCUGAAGGAAGGCUGCCAUGCUCAGUGACAAAGUGACCUGAAGAGAAAGGCCUGAUGUACCCAGCUGGGGAUGCCAGCCACCGAGAGACCCCAGUGGACAUCCUCGGGGAAGAAGCUCCAUAGACAGAGUCCCUGCCGAGAACGUUCAAACAGCAAACCCAAGCGCAGCAAAACUGUACAGUUAAAAAAAAAAAAGAAAGGAAAAAAAGAUAGUUUUCAUGUUCCAUAAGGCUAUGAUUAUGUGAUAUACAUAUUUUUAUUCAAGAUCAAAGCGUUGUUUUUAAUAGUUAAAUAUUCACAUAUGCAAAUGAGCUUUGAUUUGCAUAAAGUGAUAAUUAUGUUAUUCAUUAGGACUUGGUAAAUGUUGUGCUCAAAUUCCAUGAUCAUUUUGCUUUAGGGUUACUGAGAAACAAGUUUAUGAGUUUGAGGGAAAAUCUAUUGUGAAAGUAAACGGCGGAGUUUAUUUCCACCAAGCCGGGAUGAUUUCCCUACCUCCUACGUUCCCAGGAUGGCAUGUCCAGUCUAGCCCAUUAUAUCAGCUAAUGUCUGUGGGGAGGCCCAGGGCUGCUGUCCCUGCAAGGUCAUCUGUCAAUGCCAGCCGGGGAGGGGGAGCUGUCAGUCUCGCCGUGUCAUUGUCCCUUCCCAGCUGCCCCGCCGCGCUCUGCCCGGCCGGCUCGGGGCUGCGGGAGCG